rnacentral:rRNA from 1 species
CCUACGGGAGGCAGCAGUGGGGAAUUUUGGACAAUGGGCGCAAGCCUGAUCCAGCCAUGCCGCGUGAGUGAAGAAGGCCUUCGGGUUGUAAAGCUCUUUCGGCAGGAACGAAAUGGUUAGUGCUAAUACCACUGACUGAUGACGGUACCUGAAGAAGAAGCACCGGCUAACUACGUGCCAGCAGCCGCGGUAAUACGUAGGGUGCAGGCGUUAAUCGGAAUUACUGGGCGUAAAGCGUGCGCAGGCGGUUUCUUAAGUCAGAUGUGAAAGCCCCGGGCUUAACCUGGGAACUGCGUUUGAAACUGGGAGACUCGAGUGUGGCAGAGGGGGGUGGAAUUCCACGUGUAGCAGUGAAAUGCGUAGAUAUGUGGAGGAACACCGAUGGCGAAGGCAACCCCCUGGGUUAACACUGACGCUCAUGCACGAAAGCGUGGGGAGCAAACAGGAUUAGAUACCCUGGUAGUCCACGCCCUAAACUAUGUCAAACUGGUUGUCGGGGGAGUUAAUUCCCUUGGUAACGAAGCUAACGCGUGAAGUUGACCGCCUGGGGAGUACGGUCGCAAAGAUUAAAAACUUAAAAGGAAAUUGACGGGCNGAGAGNGCGACGACGACACAGGAGAG